rnacentral:rRNA from 1 species
GAUGAACGCUGGCGGCGUGCCUAAUACAUGCAAGUCGAGCGAUCGGACGAGAAGCUUGCUUCUCUGAUGUUAGCGGCGGACGGGUGAGUAACACGUGGAUAACCUACCUAUAAGACUGGGAUAACUUCGGGAAACCGGAGCUAAUACCGGAUGAUAUUUUGAACCGCAUGGUUCAAAAGUGAAAGACGGUCUUGCUGUCACUUAUAGAUGGAUCCGCGCUGCAUUAGCUAGUUGGUAAGGUAACGGCUUACCAAGGCAACGAUGCAUAGCCGACCUGAGAGGGUGAUCGGCCACACUGGAACUGAGACACGGUCCAGACUCCUACGGGAGGCAGCAGUAGGGAAUCUUCCGCAAUGGGCGAAAGCCUGACGGAGCAACGCCGCGUGAGUGAUGAAGGUUUUCGGAUCGUAAAACUCUGUUAUUAGGGAAGAACAUAUGUGUAAGUAACUGUGCACAUCUUGACGGUACCUAAUCAGAAAGCCACGGCUAACUACGUG